rnacentral:rRNA from 1 species
GGCCUGUGAGGGUUGCUGGAGGUAUCAGAAGUGCGAAUGCUGACAUAAGUAACGAUAAAGCGGGUGAAAAGCCCGCUCGCCGGAAGACCAAGGGUUCCUGUCCAACGUUAAUCGGGGCAGGGUGAGUCGACCCCUAAGGCGAGGCCGAAAGGCGUAGUCGAUGGGAAACGGGUUAAUAUUCCCGUACUUGGUGUUACUGCGAAGGGGGGACGGAGAAGGCUAUGUUGGCCGGGCGACGGUUGUCCCGGUUUAAGCGUGUAGGUGUGUGUUCCAGGUAAAUCCGGUUCACUUUAACACUGAGGCGUGACGACGAGGCACUACGGUGCUGAAGCAACAAAUGCCCUGCUUCCAGGAAAAGCCUCUAAGCAUCAGGUAACAUCAAAUCGUACCCCAAACCGACACAGGUGGUCAGGUAGAGAAUACCAAGGCGCUUGAGAGAACUCGGGUGAAGGAACUAGGCAAAAUGGUGCCGUAACUUCGGGAGAAGGCACGCUGACACGUAGGUGAAGUGAUUUACUCAUGGAGCUGAAGUCAGUCGAAGAUACCAGCUGGCUGCAACUGUUUAUUAAAAACACAGCACUGUGCAAACACGAAAGUGGACGUAUACGGUGUGACGCCUGCCCGGUGCCGGAAGGUUAAUUGAUGGGGUCAGCGCAAGCGAAGCUCCUGAUCGAAGCCCCGGUAAACGGCGGCCGUAACUAUAACGGUCCUAAGGUAGCGAAAUUCCUUGUCGGGUAAGUUCCGACCUGCACGAAUGGCGUAAUGAUGGCCAGGCUGUCUCCACCCGAGACUCAGUGAAAUUGAACUCGCUGUGAAGAUGCAGUGUACCCGCGGCAAGACGGAAAGACCCCGUGAACCUUUACUAUAGCUUGACACUGAACAUUGAGCCUUGAUGUGUAGGAUAGGUGGGAGGCUUUGAAGUGUGGACGCCAGUCUGCAUGGAGCCGACCUUGAAAUACCACCCUUUAAUGUUUGAUGUUCUAACGUGGACCCGUAAUCCGGGUUGCGGACAGUGUCUGGUGGGUAGUUUGACUGGGGCGGUCUCCUCCUAAAGAGUAACGGAGGAGCACGAAGGUUGGCUAAUCCUGGUCGGACAUCAGGAGGUUAGUGCAAUGGCAUAAGCCAGCUUGACUGCGAGCGUGACGGCGCGAGCAGGUGCGAAAGCAGGUCAUAGUGAUCCGGUGGUUCUGAAUGGAAGGGCCAUCGCUCAACGGAUAAAAGGUACUCCGGGGAUAACAGGCUGAUACCGCCCAAGAGUUCAUAUCGACGGCGGUGUUUGGCACCUCGAUGUCGGCUCAUCACAUCCUGGGGCUGAAGUAGGUCCCAAGGGUAUGGCUGUUCGCCAUUUAAAGUGGUACGCGAGCUGGGUUUAGAACGUCGUGAGACAGUUCGGUCCCUAUCUGCCGUGGGCGCUGGAGAACUGAGGGGGGCUGCUCCUAGUACGAGAGGACCGGAGUGGACGCAUCACUGGUGUUCGGGUUGUCAUGCCAAUGGCACUGCCCGGUAGCUAAAUGCGGAAGAGAUAAGUGCUGAAAGCAUCUAAGCACGAAACUUGCCCCGAGA